rnacentral:rRNA from 1 species
UACGAAGGGGGCUAGCGUUGCUCGGAAUGACUGGGCGUAAAGGGCGCGUAGGCGGUUUGGACAGUCAGAUGUGAAAUUCCUGGGCUCAACCUGGGGGGCUGCAUUUGAUACGUUCGGACUAGAGUGGGGAAGAGGGUCGUGGAAUUCCCAGUGUAGAGGUGAAAUUCGUAGAUAUUCGGAAGAACACCAGUGGCGAAGGCGACUUACUGGACACAUAUUGACGCUGAGGUGCGAAAGCGUGGGGAGCAAACAGG